rnacentral:rRNA from 1 species
AGGAAGGUAGUGUAGUUAACACCUGCAUUAUUUGACGUUACCUACAGAAGAAGCACCGGCUAACUCCGUGCCAGCAGCCGCGGUAAUACGGAGGGUGCGAGCGUUAAUCGGAAUUACUGGGCGUAAAGCGCAUGCAGGCGGCCUGUUAAGUCAGAUGUGAAAGCCCGGGGCUUAACCUCGGAAUUGCAUUUGAAACUGGCAGGCUAGAGUCUUGUAGAGGGGGGUAGGAAUUUCAGGUGUAGCGGUGAAAUGCGUAGAGAUCUGAAGGAAUACCAGUGGCGAAGGCGGCCCCCUGGACAAAGACUGACGCUCAGAUGCGAAAGCGUGGGGAGCAAACAGGAUUAGAUACCCCUGGUAG